rnacentral:rRNA from 1 species
GUGGGGAAUAUUGGACAAUGGGCGAAAGCCUGAUCCAACCAUGCCGCGUGUGUGAAGAAGGUCUUCGGAUUGUAAAGCACUUUAAGUUGGGAGGAAGGGCAGUAAGUUAAUACCUUGCUGUUUUGACGUUACCGACAGAAUAAGCACCGGCUAACUUCGUGCCAGCAGCCGCGGUAAUACGAAGGGUGCAAGCGUUAAUCGGAAUUACUGGGCGUAAAGCGCGCGUAGGUGGUUUUGUAAGUUGGAGGUGAAAUCCCCGGGCUCAACCUGGGAACUGCCUCCAAAACUGCAUGACUAGAGUACGGUAGAGGGUAGUGGAAUUUCCUGUGUAGCGGUGAAAUGCGUAGAUAUAGGAAGGAACACCAGUGGCGAAGGCGACUACCUGGACUGAUACUGACACUGAGGUGCGAAAGCGUGGGGAGCAAACAGGAUUAGAUACCCGAGUAGUCC